rnacentral:rRNA from 1 species
UACGUAGGGUGCGAGCGUUAAUCGGAAUUACUGGGCGUAAAGCGUGCGCAGGCGGUCUGUUAAGACCGAUGUGAAAUCCCCGGGCUUAACCUGGGAACUGCAUUGGUGACUGGCAGGCUUUGAGUGUGGCAGAGGGAGGUAGAAUUCCACGUGUAGCAGUGAAAUGCGUAGAGAUGUGGAGGAAUACCGAUGGCGAAGGCAGCCUCCUGGGUUAACACUGACGCUCAGGCACGAAAGCGUGGGGAGCAAACAGG